UACGGAAGGCAGCAGUGGGGAAUAUUGCACAAUGGGCGAAAGCCUGAUGCAGCUAUGCCGCGUGUAUGAAGAAGGCCUUAGGGUUGUAAAGUACUUUCAUCGGGGAGGAAAAACAAAACUAAUAAUUUUAUUUCUUGACGUUACCCGAAAAAGAAGCACCGGCUAACUCCGUGCCAGCAGCCGCGGUAAUACGGAGGGUGCUAGCGUUAAUCAGAAUUACUGGGCGUAAAAGAGCACGUAGGUGGUUUUUUUAAGUCAGAUGUGAAAAUCCCUGGGCUUAACCUAGGAACUGCAUUUUGAAACUGAAAUACUAGAGUAUCGUAGAGGGAGGUAGAAUUCUAGGUGUAGCGGUGAAAAUGCGUAGAUAUCUGGAGGAAUACCUGUGGCGAAAAGCGGCCUCCUAAACGAAUACUGACACUGAGGUGCGAAAGCGUGGGGAGCAAAACAGGGAUUAGAUACC
rnacentral:rRNA from 1 species